GGGGAUUUAGCUCUGUGGUAGAGCGCUUGCCUAGCAAGCACAAGGCCCUGGGUUCGGUCCCCAGCUCCG
rnacentral:tRNA from 1 species